rnacentral:rRNA from 1 species
UACAGAGGUCUCAAGCGUUGUUCGGAUUCAUUGGGCGUAAAGGGUGCGUAGGUGGCUGGGCAAGUUUGGUGUGAAAUCCCGGGGCUCAACCCCGGAACUGCACUGAAUACUGCCUUGCUUGAGCACUGGAGAGGGAACUGGAAUUUACGGUGUAGCAGUGAAAUGCGUAGAUAUCGUAAGGAAGACCAGUGGCGAAGGCGAGUUCCUGGACAGUUGCUGACACUGAGGAACGAAGGCGAGGGGAGCAAACGGG